rnacentral:lncRNA from 1 species
GACCUAUAGAUAUAAGUAAUUUUUCAGUGAUUGGCGCAGGAAUAGAUAUGUUUAUACCUGGACAAUGUGCUCCAGAUGAAGACAAUUGACUCAUCGAAGUAUUUAGAAAAUUAAUGUAAUAUAUUUUUAUUUCUCCAGUAAAAGAUGAUUUUGAUUUUACAGCUUAGUAAUUUGACCUCAUUGUGUCGUAAUAAGUAGUAAAUUUUUCACACCUCACCCUAAGAUUGGAUCAACCAACAUCCAUCCAGGCUCAUCCAGUAAAGUCUCAGUGGAAGGAGGUGGAGCAAAUCCUGGCAGCAUAGGCCCAGCCUUCUGGAGGGACAUCAACAAAUGUGAUUACAAGAUUAAUUGAUAAAUGAAAAAUGGCUAAUAAUAUACAAAACUGUAAAAUAAGAUUUGUUCACAAAAUUUAUUGAGAGGUUUUUUAGAUAUUAGAUACAUGAUCCUUUACAGGAAAAGGAUGAGAAGGCUGUAUGAGAGAGAGAGAGAGAGAGAGAGAGAGAGAUACUCCUAGAAAUGGGGAACAUCUUAUCUGGUUCUAUAAGCAACCUAAGAAUUCUACUCCGAAGCAUCAUUUCACCACCAGCUGGUCUAUUGGAUAAGCCAAUCCAGUGGAGUAGACAGAUCAUAGAAGNNNNN